rnacentral:rRNA from 1 species
CGCGAAAGUAAAUGAGCUAAAUUAAGAUAAUUAUUAGAUUAUAAUAUGUAGCAUAAUAUUAAAUAAAUACUAAUUUAGGGGUGAUAGGCUUUUCAAGUUUACAGAUAUCUCGAUACUUUAGAAAAACAUUAAGUGUAACUACAACUGAGUAGUGAUAAGGCUAUUCAUAAGCAUGAACCGAUGUAAUAGUAUUACUAUCCAAAUUUAAUCGUUUGAUAGAGCUUAAAAUUAAUAUUAAUUUAUAUUAUAUUGUGGUCAAUAUAAAGAUCCUUUAAAUUUAUUUAAAUGUUAAAAAUGUAACUAUUAGUAUGUUAAACAAAUAUUGAAAAUGAACUCGGCAAUUUACCUUUCAACUGUUUAUCAAAAACAUAGCUAUAUGGAUAUAUAUAUAGUAAUUUCUGCUCAAUGAUAAUUUAAAUAGCCGCAGUACCCUGACUGUGCAAAGGUAGCAUAAUAAUUUGGCUUAUAAUUGAAGUCUAGUAUGAAUGAAAUAUUGGGGGGUAUCUUUAUCUUCAAUAUUGAUUGAAAUUAUUUCUUAAGUGCAAACCCUUAUAACAAAAUGAUAGACGAGAAGACCCUAAAAAUUUUAAUAAUUAGUACACUUUUCUUUUUGUUGGGGCAACAAGGUAACAAAAAAUUUACCGUUGAAAACAAGAACAGUUAUUUAUGAUAGAUAAAAUUACUUUAGGGAUAACAGCGUAAUUUUAAAAAGUUUGCGACCUCGAUGUUGGACUAGGAAACAAUUGCUUAAAA